rnacentral:rRNA from 1 species
AAUGAACGUUGGCGGCGUGGAUUAGGCAUGCAAGUCGCGCGAUGAAACAGUGCUUGCACUGUGAAUUAGCGGCGAAAGGGAGAGGAACACGUGGAUACUUACCCCCAGGACUGGGAUAGCUGCGGGAAACUGCAGGUAAUACCAGAUAAUAUCUCCGGAUCAAAUGGUGUGAUUCCGCCUGGGGAUGGGUUCGCGUCCUAUUAGCUUGUUGGUGGGGUAACGGCCUACCAAGGCUUCGAUGGGGUAGCGGGUGUGAGAGCAUGGCCCGCCUCACUGGGACUGAGACACUGCCCAGACACCUACGGGUGGCUGCAGUCGAGAAUCUUUGGCAAUGGGCGAAAGCCUGACCAAGCGACGCCGCGUGCGGGAUGAAGGCCUUCGGGUUGUAAACCGCUGUCAGUUGGGAGGAAAUCUAUGGGGGUUCUCCCCCAUAGUUGACCUAUCUUCAGAGGAAGUACGGGCUAAGUUCGUG